UACGUAGGGUGCAAGCGUUGUCCGGAUUUAUUGGGUUUAAAGGGGGCGUAGGCGGCCCGGUCAGUCCGUGGUGAAAGCCUCCAGCUCAACUGGAGAACUGCCAUUGAUACUGCCGGGCUUGAGUACAGACGAGGUUGGCGGAAUUGAUUGUGUAGCGGUGAAAUGCAUAGAUACAAUCAAGAACUCCGAUUGCGUAGGCAGCUAACUAGGCUGUAACUGACGCUGAGGCACGAAAGCGUGGGGAGCGAACAGG
rnacentral:rRNA from 1 species